rnacentral:ncRNA from 1 species
UGCCAUUCCCGUGGUGAUUUGAGCCGACCGGCUUGCGGCCACGUUAAAGAAACCGCUAAAAAGGUCGGAGGAUGCAUCCC